AUCUUUUUCUGGUUCACAAACACGAAGAUAGGGUAUUCAUAUAUCUGUGUAACAUGUUCCUCCCUUCAGUCUUGUUAUAACAUUGGUGUAUUAUCUGCCUGAUG
ensembl:snoRNA